rnacentral:rRNA from 1 species
AAAUUGAAGAGUUUGAUCAUGGCUCAGAUUGAACGCUGGCGGCAGGCCUAACACAUGCAAGUCGAACGGUAACAGAAAGCAGCUUGCUGCUUUGCUGACGAGUGGCGGACGGGUGAGUAAUGUCUGGGAAACUGCCUGA